rnacentral:pre_miRNA from 1 species
UGCAGCAGCAGGACUUAACCCACAUGUGAACAGUGUAGUAAAGCUCUGUGUUCACAGUGGUUAAGUUCUGCCCCUGUG